rfam:Clostridium celatum DSM 1785 genomic scaffold Scfld24, whole genome shotgun sequence.
AAAUUUAAUAGGCAAACUUAAGGAAACUUAAGGACGCAAAGCUAUAGGGACUAAAGUAAAAAUUAUGUCAGCCAGUUGCAAAG